CAAAACCUAUGCAUGAUUAAAAAUGGAAAAGUGGAAAAACAAUGUUUUAAAUUGAUCAAAGCUAUUUCAAAAAAGGAACAGAAAAUAUACUAAACAGUGAAGCAAAGCCUUCCUUGUGAGAACUGAGACAGGAAACGGUGCCUUUUAGCAAG